UACCAGCUCUCCGAGUGGUAGGGAUGAUUAUUGGGCUUAAAGCGUCCGUAGCCGGCUUAGCAAGUUUCCUGUUAAAUUCAGCGACCUAAUCGUUGAGCCGCGGGAAAUACUACUAGGCUAGGAGGCGGGAGAGGGUCGACGGUACUUCUGGGGUAGGGGUGAAAUCCUAUAAUCCCGGGAGGACCACCAGUGGCGAAGGCUGUCGACUAGAACGCGCUCGACGGUGAGGGACGAAAGCUGGGGGAGCGAACCGGAUUAGAUACCCGGGUAGUCCCAGCUGUAAACGAUGCGGGCUAGGUGUUGGGGUGGCUACGUGCCACUUCAGUGCCGCAGGGAAGCCAUUAAGCCCGCCGCCUGGGGAGUACGCCGCAAGGCUGAAACUUAAAGGAAUUGGCGGGGGAGCACCACAAGGCGUGAAGCUUGCGGUUC
rnacentral:rRNA from 1 species